rnacentral:rRNA from 1 species
GACGAACGCUGGCGGCGUGCUUAACACAUGCAAGUCGAACGAUGAAGCCGGAGCUUGCUCUGGUGAAUUAGUGGCGAACGGGUGAGUAACACGUGAGUAACCUGCCCUUGACUCUGGGAUAACUGCGGGAAACUGUAGCUAAUACCGUAUACGACCCUAGGAGGCAUCUCCUGGGGGUGGAAAGAAUUUCUGUCAAGGAAGGACCCGCGGCCUAUCAGCUAGUUGGUGAGGUAAAGGCUCACCAAGGCUACGACAGGUAGCCGGCCUGAGAGGGUGAGCGGCCACACUGGGACUGAGCCACGGCCCAGACUCCUACUGGAGGCAGCAGUGGGGAAUAUUGCACAAUGGGCGCAAGCCUGAUGCAGCAACGCCGCGUGAGGGAUGACGGCCUUCGGGUUGUAAACCUCUUUUAGCAGGGAAGAAGCGAAAGUGACGGUACCUGCAGAAAAAGCACCGGCUAACUACGUGCCAGCCGCCGCCGUAA